AGCCCAAAGCCCAUUUAAAACCUACAAAUAAGAAGGCCGUCUUCUCUGUUCCUCUCCUUCAACAAACAACUUCUUCCUUCUCUGUAAAUCAGAAUUCUACUCAAUCCCGUCGCCACCACUUCCUCUCCCUCACCAGUUUCCGUCGACCUCCUGAACCUUCGUCUCACGGUUUCCUCUCUUUAAUGUUGCUUCUGAUUUUGCUAAAGCAUUAUACAUACAAAUGUGUUUUUGUGAAUUUUGAUUGCUUUAUAUGAAUAUCAUACACAUGUGAUUGUGAAUUUUGAUGGGUUUUUUCUAUUUUUGUUCUGGACUA